rnacentral:rRNA from 1 species
GACGAACGCUGGCGGCGUGCUUAACACAUGCAAGUCGAACGGAAAGGCCCUGCUUUUGUGGGGUGCUCGAGUGGCGAACGGGUGAGUAACACGUGAGUAACCUGCCCUUGACUUUGUGAUAACUUCAGGAAACUGGGGCUAAUACCGGAUAGGAGCUCCUGCUGCAUGGUGGGGUUUGGAAAGUUUCGGCGGUUGGGGAUGGACUCGCGGCUUAUCAGCUUGUUGGUGGGGUAGUGGCUUACCAAGGCUUUGACGGGUAGCCGGCCUGAGAGGGUGACCGGCCACAUUGGGACUGAGAUACGGCCCAGACUCCUACGGGAGACAGCAGGGGGGAAUAUUGCACAAUGGGCGGAAGCCUGAUGCAGAAACGCCGCGUGCGGGAUGACGGCCUUCGGGUUGUAAACCGCUUUCGCCUGUGACGAAGCGUGAGUGACGGUAAUGGGUAAAGAAGCACCGGCUAACUACGUG